GCAGACAUUGCUUCCUGUCGCAACUGAGCUCGAACUAGCUGGAAAGAGGCACAAGAAUACAUGGAUGACAACGAGGACAACUGUGAUUCUGAGAAGGAUGGUGGUGAUGAUGAUGGUGACGAAGAGUACGACGAUGGUGACGAGGAUGAUGAUGAUUCUGAGACACUUGCCUAACAUUAAUAAAUGCAGCCCCAGAUCUGACUGACACUAUCUGAGACACCCUUGGCCCUUUUCAUUUUUAAAAAAAAUUUCUUUACAGCUUCCCUUGUGAUGUGAUGAGUAGUUUUACAGUAUAAAAAAUACAUUUUUUUGCAUUGAGCUAAUCUGCUUCUCUUUUUGUAGGAUUAUCUGCUGCCUUUUUGCCACUGUUAGGUUCCUCAACAUUUUGCUUGACUGUUUGAGUUGUGUUUAUAUCAUAUGUAUGCUAUACUUCUGUUGUAAUUUUACUAGUUUUUGAGAAAAGCAAGCUGCCAUUUUGUUGAGAGGUUUGGUGCCCCUACACUGUAUGCAUAUGAAUAAAGAACAUACGGAUCCUA